rnacentral:tRNA from 1 species
GGAGAGAUGACAGAGUGGCCGAUCGUGCUCGCUUGGAAAGCGAGUGUACCGCAAGGUACCGGGGGUUCGAAUCCCCCUCUCUCCG